GACGAACGCUGGCGGCGUGCCUAAUACAUGCCAGUUGAGCGCUGAAGGUUGGUACUUGUACCAACUGGAUGAGCAGCGAACGGGUGAGUAACGCGUGGGGAAUCUGCCUUUGAGCGGGGGACAACAUUUGGAAACGAAUGCUAAUACCGCAUAAAAACUUUAAACACAAGAUUUAAGUUUGAAAGAUGCAAUUGCAUCACUCAAAGAUGAUCCCGCGUUGUAUUAGCUAGUUGGUGAGGUAAAGGCUCACCAAGGCGAUGAUACAUAGCCGACCUGAGAGGGUGAUCGGCCACAUUGGGACUGAGACACGGCCCAAACUCCUACGGGAGGCAGCAGUAGGGAAUCUUCGGCAAUGGACGAAAGUCUGACCGAGCAACGCCGCGUGAGUGAAGAAGGUUUUCGGAUCGUAAAACUCUGUUGGUAGAGAAGAACGUUGGUGAGAGCGGAAAGCUCAUCAAGUGACGGUAACUACCCAGAAAGGGACGGCUAACUACGUG
rnacentral:rRNA from 1 species